UGUCGUUUUUCUUUUCUGUAGUAUCUGAUAACGCGUUGUUGCACUCUCCUUGGGCACAGAAAAUCCUGACUGACAGUUCAUAAUAAAAGCAGGUAAAUACUGAAUUUAUGGUAAGAUGGUGCAACAAAGGUGAGUUUUCCAGUAAACUGAAAGCUGAAAUAAAAGAUUUCAGAAUGACUUCGAAACACAUGUGUCUUCUGCUCGAUUUCUCAACCGGCUUAACAGAUCGUCCAGUUCCUUCCUUUAUUUCCUUCUUUCUUUUCCCAAAGCUGAAGUGCUCUUGGAUGAAGUGAGUCUUUUGAACACAUUGAUGAAGGUGUCUUCAGAAGAGAUGGCGUGGUCUGGUCUGGUCUGGUCUGCACACACCGAGGAAAUGAAGAGAAUUCUUUCUAAGGAAAAAAUCAACUUUGAAAAGCACUCUGAAAUUCUCGUACAGCCACGUGACGGGGUCAGAACUGCGAUGGCUUCCUAGAUGGCUGGAAAACUGCUAAUGAAAUGGCAUCAUCACCAGAGGGCUUCUGCGUUAAGAAUCCCAAAGCCUAUAACAAGUCAUUAAAAAUUGUGCAUCGAAGGUUUUUUUUUUUUUUUUUUUUUUGUUUUGCUUUUAAAGGUUCAUUAUAAAAAUCUUGUUAAUUUUUUAAUACCAAGUCUGUGUAAUGAAUUAUUUUAAAUAGCUUAUAAGAAAAGUUUGUUUGUUUUUAAAUUCCAAAAUGUUCCAACAGGCAGAAGGGCAACACAAAACCACUGCCAUGCUCGCCUUUUGCUCUGAUUUUAGUUGGACGAUGCUGCUUGCUUGGAGUUUGCCAGUAGAAAAUUUGCUGUGGACUUAAAAGUAUUUUGUUUAUAAACACUUUGUGUUUUAUAGGCACAGUAAGAUGUUGUGCUAUAUGGAUUGGAAAAAAAAGAGGCGUAAUUCAGUGCUUCUGUUAUAAAGAGUUAACGUUUGCCUUCCAA